UACAGAGGGGGCAAGCGUUGUUCGGAAUUACUGGGCGUAAAGGGCGCGUAGGUGGCCUUCUAAGUUGAACGUGAAAUCCCUGGGCUCAACCCAGGAACUGCGUCCAAGACUGGGAGGCUUGAAUCCGGGAGAGGGAUGCGGAAUUCCAGGUGUAGCGGUGAAAUGCGUAGAUAUCAAGAGGAACACCGGUGGCGAAGGCGGCAUCCUGGACCAACACUGACACUGAUGAGCGAAAGCCAGGGGAGCAAACGGG
rnacentral:rRNA from 1 species